rnacentral:rRNA from 1 species
GACGAACGCUGGCGGCGUGCUUAACACAUGCAAGUCGAACGGAAAGGCCCUGCUUUUGUGGGGUGCUCGAGUGGCGAACGGGUGAGUAACACGUGAGUAACCUGCCCUUGACUUUGGGAUAACUUCAGGAAACUGGGGCUAAUACCGGAUAGGAGCUCCUGCUGCAUGGUGGGGGUUGGAAAGUUUCGGCGGUUGGGGAUGGACUCGCGGCUUAUCAGCUUGUUGGUGGGGUAGUGGCUUACCAAGGCUUUGACGGGUAGCCGGCCUGAGAGGGUGAACGGCCACAUUGGGACUGAGAUACGGCCCAGAAUCCUACGGGAGGCAGCAGUGGAGAAUAUUGCACAAUGGGCGGAAGCCUGAUGCAGCAACGCCGCGUGCGGAAUGACGGCCUUCGGGUUGUAAACCGCUUUCGCCUGUGACGAAGCGUGCGUGACGGUAAUGGGUAAAGAAGCACCGGCUAACUACGUG